AUUGAACGCUGGCGGCAUGCUUUACACAUGCAAGUCGAACGGUAACAGGGAGCUUGCUCCGCUGACGAGUGGCGAACGGGUGAGUAAUGCGUCGGAACGUGCCGAGUAGUGGGGGAUAACGCAUCGAAAGGUGUGCUAAUACCGCAUACGUACUGAGGUAGAAAGUGGGGGACCUUCGGGCCUCACGCUAUUCGAGCGGCCGACGUCUGAUUAGCUAGUUGGUGAGGUAAAGGCUCACCAAGGCGACGAUCAGUAGCGGGUCUGAGAGGAUGAUCCGCCACACUGGGACUGAGACACGGCCCAGACUCCUACGGGAGGCAGCAGUGGAGAAUUUUGGACAAUGGGCGCAAGCCUGAUCCAGCCAUGCCGCGUGUCUGAAGAAGGCCUUCGGGUUGUAAAGGACUUUUGUCCGGGAGCAAAUGCUGGUGGCUAACAUCCACCGGAGCUGAGAGUACCGGAAGAAUAAGCACCGGCUAACUACGUGCCAGCAGCCGCCGUAAAAC
rnacentral:rRNA from 1 species